AUAUGUAAAUUUUAUCAAGACAUAAUAUAAACAAAUAAGGAACUCAUGUUAAUGACAACAAAACUAUAAUCAUAACACUUCUACAUAUCAUAGUGCCUUAUUCACUCUUUUGUCACACUUAUUAAGUGUAAUGUGCUCAGCUAAACAUUCCAUUACCAUGGAAGGAUGGUAUUUUAUCGAGGGUAAAGUGGAUAUUGGAUACAUUGCAUUUGUGUCACAGAGAGAAAUUGUCCUUUUCACCUAAAUUUUUGAAUAUCUUGGCAUGAGAGCCCAAGUAGAGUGCAGAAUCACCUGGGUUCAGACGAUUCUCGUGCCUCAGCCUCCGGAGCAGCUGGGAUUACAGGUAAUUUACAUCGACUGCAUCUGUAUGGUGAAAAUAUAGUAUAAUGGGGUGCUGCUGUGAAUCUCCUUCCAAUUCUGCAUUCUGUGAUAUCAUAGUGGUAACCUGAAAUCCACCAUAGUGGGGACAUUUACACAAUAACUGGCAAAUGCUACAAGGCUGGGCUUUUUCAGUUUUGUUGAUUGUCUGGACAUAAAAAGGUAAUACAGAAAAUGUUACCAAUACAAGCAUUUGGGAAAAAUAAACUAAAACCUUUUGUGAAAAACAACAGGUUUUAUGGAAUUUACAAUAAAUAAUACUGUAUAUUUUA